UACGUAGGUGGCAAGCGUUGUCCGGAUUUACUGGGCGUAAAGAGCGCGCAGGCGGUCGUUCAAGUCGCGUGUGAAAGCCCCCGGCUCAACUGGGGAGGGUCACGCGAUACUGAUCGACUCGAAGGCAGGAGAGGGAAGUGGAAUUCCCGGUGUAGUGGUGAAAUGCGUAGAUAUGUGGAGGAACACCGAUGGCGAAGGCAGCCUCCUGGGCCAGCACUGACGCUCAUGCACGAAAGCGUGGGGAGCAAACAGG
rnacentral:rRNA from 1 species